ensembl:lncRNA
GUAUAUUUAAGCAUCUGGACUUUUAAUGGAUGUUUAACCAAUUUUAAUGCAUAUACAUAGAUAGAUAGAUGGAGAUUUAGGUGUGUAUAUAUAGGUAGGUAGAGAUAUAAUCUCUCUCUCUCAAUCACUGGCAUAUACAGUGGGGUCCAAAUCUUCUGAGCAUUAGUGAAAAUGCUUCUAUUUUGCAUUCUCUUCUCAUUUAAUACAUCAAUUUUCAUUACAAAUUAUAUUACUGAUAACAACUUGAGUGAGAAGUGGACUUUUAGACAUUUUUGGAUGAAUUUUAGACUUCUUUUGUAUCCGGUUUGUCCCUUUUUUCUUUAAUGAUGGUGUCCACUCGAGCUGGCAUGGCCUCCGGAAGUUUGUACAGAACUUUUAUUGAUCCAUUUUAGAUCGUAUUUAUCAGAGUCUGAGAACAUGCUUCAGUAGAAGAGAGAAGGACUAAUCUGGCAUUUUUGAGGAAAAUCUGGCAUUUUGUACAAAGCAGUUAGUUAGUUAUGGUCAGUAGCACAAAUUUGCUUAAAUUUAAAUAAGGACCUAGAAAUGGUGCAGAAUCUUACAGUGAGUAUUCAAGAUAUUGAAUAUUUAUUUUGUUUUCAAUAUCUUAAAAUUUAAAUCCUUUUCCUUUUAAGUGGAAAAAUUGGAAAUAAUUGAAAAAUCCCAGAUUUUCAAUGUGGACUUUUGGACAUCACUGUAUAUCCUUCAGAGACACUCACAGUGAAAUUCAUCAAUUUUAACACUGAUCUCCAUCACUUGAGCCCCUGCUGUGUUCAGAGAUGAUGGCUGGAGCAGGUCAGUGUUCUGAAGGUGCUUAGAGCGGUCAUGUUGCUCUGCUGGCCAGCUAAUUAAUCCCCUAGCAUGGUCACAGGAUGUUGAUGCAGCCCAUUGAACUUGCUUGUUUUUGUUAUAAUGAGUUAUGAUUCUUUAUGUUUUUUCCAUUCCUUUUUGGAACAUUGGGAGGAAGGAUAUGACCUACUUAAGGAAAUGUGAUUGCCUUUUUAAAGUGACAGUGUGCGGAAAGGUCUCCUUUCUCACUGCGUACAAUGAUUUCAUAGCAAACGAAAACAGUUUAUUCAUUUUGGAGGGUAAGAAGUGUUUGAAAGACAGUGAAACAGAAUAGAAUGUCUAGGAGAAGAUUGAAUCAUCUUAUAUUAUAAUCAUGUGAAAAAAUAAGUAAACCCUAUGGAAAUUGUUGGUUUUUUUGACACAUUUGGACAAGCAAACAUUUGAUCAUCUUUGAAACAGUGUCAGUGCCUAUUAAUAAAGUCAAUAUACUUGAACAAAACUACAAGGAAAUAGCUUUUUCAUUUAUUCAACAGAAAUAUCAAUAGAUGUGAUAUUCUCUUGUGGAAAAAGUACACCCUUUGCCUCAGAAGCUAGUAUUGCCCCCUUUAGCAGAAAUAAGUUCUUGUAGGCAUUUUGCAUAAUUCACCAGGCUUGCAGGAAUUUUGACCACUGUUCCAUGUAAGAUGUUUGAGGGUUUUCUUACAUGUGCUGCCUGUUUCAAAUCUGCCCCACAACAUUUAAAUGGGAUUCAAAUCCAGGCUUUGACUACUGCAUAACCCUCUUUCUUCUUUUUGAGUCAUUCCUUGGUGGAUUUGUUAGUGUCCUUAGGUUCGUUAUCCUGUUGAAUGGUCCAUAUUUGGUACAACUUUUGGACAGAUGGCCUCACACUAUCUUCAAGCACUUUUUGAUAUGAUUCAGAAUUCAGCAGCAAAGCAACCCCAAGCCAUAACAUUUCCACCACCAUGCUUCAGUUAGUAUGAGGUGGUUCUCCUGAAAAGUUGUCUUUGGUCACCACCUAACAUGUCUGCUGUUGCUGUGGCCAGACAUUUCUAAGUUUGAUUUGUCUGUCUAGAGCAUAUUAUUCCAAAAUGCUUGGUCUUUGCCUAUAUGCUCACUGGCAAACUGUAGUCUUGCAAAGGCUUUUUCUGAAUUUGCUGGGACGGCCAGUCCUGGGCAAAUUGUCAUUUGAAAUCUGCGCCAUUUGUAGAUUAUGUUCCUUACAAUGGAGUGAUGUAUUUCAAAUAAUUUGGAGAUCUUUUUAAAUCCCUUCCAGACUCCUAGGCAUCCACAACCUUUUUUUUCUGAAGGCAUUACAGAACUCUUUUUAGAUAUUACCAUGAUGACACCACACACCUCAAUAACAAAGGGAACACCAGACACUAGAUAUGAGAGUAUAAAUAAGAUGGAUUCCACCUGCACUCCCUAAGCAGGUUCUGAUCACUGGCACCCAAUCUUCAUACUAAUUUUAUGGAUUUGAAGGUGUGAUAAAUGUAGUGGUGUGCUUUUUCAUUUUCUAUGUGACCUGAUCUGUUUUUAUAUUAAUUUAAAAUGUGAAAAUUACUACAAAAUAUAAAUUUUACGUGUCAUUUGAACAUGCACCAACUUCAUUAAUAGGCAGAGGAUCUAAUGUUGGCUUGUCCAAAUGUAAAACACAAGCCAACUUUUUCCAUGGGGUGUACUUAUUUUUUCACAUGACUAUAUAUUUCCAUUUGCUUAUUUAUGUCUAAAUUUUAACAACUUUGAAGUAGCUACCGAUUGGUAUGAUUAGUAUUAACUUGUUACAUGAUUUCCAGCCUUAUGGGCAUUUCUUAGCCUGAGAACAUUUUGUCCUUAAUUCAAAGUGUAUCCUUCAUAUAUAGAUCAUUCCAUGGUGUCAGUGGUUAAAAGUAUUUUUUUUUGUUUGUUUUUGUCAUAAUAAAGCUUUGCUAGCAAUUAUGUCUGUUUUACAGGGAUUCAAUCUUCUUUACAGAAUGAGUAAUAAAGCAUCUUGGCAAGUACAGGUGACUGUUUCAGUCAGUUAAACUGUACUGCAAUAGACUGUGCGGUUUUAAAACCAUGAUCAAACCAGUUAAAGAUGUGAUGUUCUAUAUGAAGUGAGGCAUCUCAUGUAGCCAUGGAGACUGUGUAGAGGCAGUUUUUGCAAC